rnacentral:rRNA from 1 species
AUUGAACGCUGGCGGCGUGCCUAAUACAUGCAAGUAGGACGAGUUGCGAACGGGUGAGUAACGCGUGGUAACCUGCCUAUUAGAGGGGGAUAACUAUUGGAAACGGUAGCUAAUACCGCAUACCAUCGGGUGUGCCCAGAGGGGAUUAGCUAGUAGGUGGGGUAAAGGCUCACCUAGGCGACGAUCCCUAGCUGGUCUGAGAGGAUUACCAGCAACACUGGACCUGAGACACGGUCCAGACUCCUACGGGAGGGAGCAGUUGGGAAUAUUGCACAAGGGGCGGAAACCUUAUGCAGCCAUGCCGCGUGUAUGAAAAAGGCCUUCGGGUUGGAAAGUACUUUCAGCGAGGAGGCGUUACCCGCAGAAGAAGCACCGGCUAACUCCGUGCCAGCCGCCGCGGUAAUUC